UUUCCGUAGGUGAACCUGCGGAAGGAUCAUUAAAAAUGAAGCCGGGAAACCGGUCCUUCUAACCCUUGAUUAUCUCAAUUUGUUGCUUUGGUGGGCCGCGCAAGCACCGGCUUCGGCUGGAUCGUGCCCGCCAGAGGACACAACUCUGUAUCAAAUGUCGUCUGAGUACUAUAAAAUAGUUAAAACUUUCAACAACGGAUCUCUUGGUUCUG
rnacentral:misc_RNA from 1 species